GGCAGCCAGUGUUGACCAUUGAGACGAGUCGAGAGAGUUCAGCUUUUGCAAGUUCUAUGCCAACCGAAGAAGAACUAUAACCAGCAAGGGUUUCUUGAGCUUUCUUUAGUACUGACUAGACAAUUAUCACAAAAAGUUUCAGCCUGGUGGCCUUUGCCAAGCCUGUACUUCUGCAACAAAGAAAUAGGAAAAAAGUUUUUGACUCUGUUUUCAUGUCGAAAAGAGGAGUAAAAAGAUCGACAAGAAAGGGAAGAAGCACCUGUAAAUGGCUCUUAAG